rnacentral:misc_RNA from 1 species
GUGAAAAUUGCUCAGCCCCAACUCGUAUGGAGAACAAAAACAGUGUCAUCUCCGAAAAAUUGUCUGCAGAAUCUAUUUCUAAGUUCAAUAGAUUCCUCAAAGGCAUGGGGGUCUUCAACCUUAACUUUCCUCCUCAGUAUGACACUAAGGAUUCUUUCUCUGAACUCAGCCGCAGCCUCCUCAAGGUUCAACAUAUCCACCGUGGCAAGAUUUCAUGUAUUGUCUCUGUCAAACCUCCUAUCAUGAAUAUCUAUGGUUCAUUGCACGGAGGAGCAGGUGGAGAUGUAGCAGUAAGGGUAGCAACUGCCUGUGCUCGAACUAUCGUGGGAAAGGAUAAAGAGCUCUUUCUAGGAGAAUUAAGCAUAUCUUAUCUCUCUAGUGCUCCUGAAAAUGCCGAAGUAAUAGUUAAUGCAUCCGUUGUUCGAAGUGGAAGAAACCUGACUGUAGUUGCCCUGGAUUUUAGACUAAAGGACUCUGAGAAACUGUGUUACAUUUCUCGGGCAACAUUCUAUCACGUGCCUGUAGCAAGUUUAUGAACAAGACCUGGGGUGCAACACAUUAAGCUAAAGACAUCCUGCUGGUUAAUACAAGGUAUGUCUCAAUGUUGGAAGGCUUACAAAGUUUCCAAACUUCAUUAGAAUCGGGAAAAGUUCAGCUGUCAGUACUGGAGGAUGUGUUCUCUAUCAGAGGAGCUUAGAAACGUUUUUGUAAAUAAACCGUCUUCGUUUCUGCUAAAUAGUGAUACUAUGUUGGCAUCAUUGUCCAGUUACAAACUCAGUAAUGUUAAGAAAUGUAAAUGGAAAGCAAACCAUUAAUCUAAGAUGAGUAAACAGCAUGUACUUGUACCUAU